UAUGACUCUCGGCAACGGAUAUCUCGGCUCUCGCAUCGAUGAAGAACGUAGCGAAAUGCGAUACGUGGUGUGAAUUGCAGAAUCCCGUGAACCAUCGAGUCUUUGAACGCAAGUUGCGCCCGAGGGACCCUCCCGAGGUCACGCCUGCCUCAUGGGC
rnacentral:rRNA from 1 species